UGUCCAUGGCAGAGUCACGACCGUGCAUCGUGUGCUUAAAAUAGUCUAAUUAGUAAUUAAACACAACCCAUUCAAUUGCGUUGAUUACAUUAUGAUAAUGUUCCAAAUUAUUCAAUUUGCGUAAAAAAUUAAAUAUGUUGGUACUGCCAGCGCGUCGCCAACCACAUGACCGUCCCAUUAUCUUGACAAUCUACGAUUUUAUUGUUUGACGACGUCACUCAAAACAAUUUGAAUGGGCCGUGUUAAAAAAUUCCGUUGUUUUACUCCGUCGCAUCGACAGAUUUAUUCUUCGUAAUAAAUCCACCGGCAAACAACACGUGACUGUGGCAAAUGAAUGGGGGGAUCCACGGGGAGGGAAUUUCGACGCUCCGACGACUAAAGCCGGCUUGCUUCGAGGAUGAAGGAUCGCGCGGAGGACUUUUCAUGUUGGAGUGACACUUUCGAAGGUUGCUAUAAUUUUAUUCCGUAAGGAGAAAAUCUUGGGGAGCACCUUGAUAAUGACCUCGGAAAGCACAUGAUGCGAUUUCGCAACGUGAACUGGCGGGUAUUUUUAGUCGAAAGUUCAUGAAAAGUCUUCAAGUGCAUUCGGACAAGGGGAAACUUCUAUGCAAAUUUAAUCAAAAUUCCAGCGUGACAAUGAAUCACCCACCAAUGCAAUAAGACUUGAAACGCAAAGUAACAAAGUAUUACGUUAUUUACUAUCGUUUUAUCAGGGAUUAUCAAAAGUUUGGAAGUCUCGUGACCCUAAACAAAGUGAUGCGUCAAUGCAUAACACAAUAAUGAUUGGGAAGAAAACAACACGAAAAGCCUCCAGAGGACGAAAAAUGUGGCAAGGUUGAUGAGAACGGAAGUUGUUGACAAAAAAUAAUAUGCAACCUGUGUCCUGUAUUAGCAUAAAAUGAAUGUACUUUGGAGUGAGUCACAAGUUCGUAACAGAAUGUUAUAUUGUGAAUUUUGUUGCAACAAGUCAGAUUACUAAAAAAUUUGUAAUUUU